UACGAAGGGGGCUAGCGUUGCUCGGAAUCACUGGGCGUAAAGCGCACGUAGGCGGCCUCUUAAGUCGGUGGUGAAAUCCUGGAGCUCAACUCCAGAACUGCCUUCGAUACUGGAGAGCUUGAGUCCGGGAGAGGUGAGUGGAACUGCGAGUGUAGAGGUGAAAUUCGUAGAUAUUCGCAAGAACACCAGUGGCGAAGGCGGCUCACUGGCCCGGUACUGACGCUGAGGUGCGAAAGCGUGGGGAGCAAACAGG
rnacentral:rRNA from 1 species